CAGACAAGUAAUAUAGUGAAUAGGGAACAUUUGCUUAGACCUGGGGUCCUGGGAGCCUGGCUGUCUUUGGAACAUCAUCAUAGGCAGUCAUUGUGACAGCCCUGGGUGGGAGGGACUGCUUUUUUCAUAUGAAGGACUGGGGCACAGAGUGACCCGCCCAAGAUCACACAGCUUCAGAUGGAGGCCCGUAGGCUACAGAGCCCAGCUCCCUGCCGCUGCGUAGCCUGAGAGUGAGGCCUUUGAAUGAUGCCCUGGACAGAGCUUGGAACAUGAAGGUGAAUACUGUUGUGGGGAGAAUGCAUCCCUUUGCCUGGCUCUGAGCCAGGGCCAGCUUUGGAUCCUGCUAGCCCCAUGGAUAUAGAGAGAUAAGCUUGAAAGAUGCCAGCAGGGCCUGCUAAAAGCCUGCAAAAAUGACAAGGAAGAUUACACAGCUGGAAAAAACUGUUUCAACAUUUCUUGUGACAUAAAAAAGCAAAGCCUGAAACAACAAAAAAACCUACACGUAAGAGACGAGAACAUCUGUGAAAAACCAGUGGGUGAAAAUCACAGGAAUCCCGGCUUUAAAUCCAUAUAAAGAAGACCUCCAGCAGCCAGAGUCAUCCAACAGCAAGACAGGCUUCUGGAGAGAGAGUGAGGUCCCAGUUCCUAAAAGUAUACAAGGGCUGCUUACCAGGCACCGUCCGGCACUUCAGGUUUGCCAUCUGCAAAAUCUUCUUUAAUCCUUGUAAUGACCCUGUGACAUAUGGAAAACUAUUAUCCUCAUCUUCCAUGUGAGGAAACUGAAGCUGGGAGGGAAGAAGUCACACCUCCA
rnacentral:lncRNA from 1 species